CGUGCAUAACACAUUCAAGUCGAACGGAGUUUAGACGAUUAAUCCUUCGGGAAGCGUUGUUUAAGCUUAGUGGCGGACGGGUGAGUAACGCGUGAGCAACCUGCCCCUUUGUGUGGAAUAACGUUUGGAAACGAACGCUAAUACCGCAUAACGCACGGAUACCGCAUGGUAACCGUGCCAAAGAUUUAUUGCAGAGGGAUGGGCUCGCGUCUGAUUAGAUAGUUGGUGAGGUAACGGCUCACCAAGUCGACGAUCAGUAGCCGGACUGAGAGGUUGAACGGCCAUAUUGGAACUGAGAAACGGUCCAGACUCCUACGGGAGGCAGCAGUGGGGAAUAUUGGGCAAUGGGCGAAAGCCUGACCCAGCGACGCCGCGUGAGGGAAGACGGUCCUCGGAUUGUAAACCUCUUUUAUUAGGGACGAAACACGACGGUACCUAAUGAAUAAGCCACGGCUAACUACGUGCCAGCCGCCGCAGUAAGAC
rnacentral:rRNA from 1 species